rnacentral:tRNA from 1 species
CAGGGAGACAAAAACUGAUCAUGAUUUCUGAGUUCAAAACCUCAGUCCUUGAUCCUGUCACCUUAGGUCGAUCGGUACCUCAAAUUAAUUUCUUGAAUCCCCUUAAAAGGUUUCUUGAAUUCGUUUCAGCUCCUAAACUUGUCUAGGUCACACCCCGCAAGGGUUACUCCUGGGCCAUUAGCUCAGGUGGUUAGAGCGCACCCCUGAUAAGGGUGAGGUCCCUGGUUCAAGUCCAGGAUGGCCCAUUCGGUUUUGGGGGUUUAGCUCAGUUGGUAGAGCGCCUGCUUUGCAAGCAGGAUGUCAGCGGUUCGAGUCCGCUAACCUCCACUGGCGGCACCCCCUUUAUGACCCCAUCCUGAGUACCAAUGCGAGAUGUGAUUUAGAUAAUUCAGCUGAUUGAACCUAGCUUCUUAUCAUUCCAAUCCAAUUUUAUUUUGGAUUUGGUUGACAGGACGCUGGGCUCAUUGGGAUUUUUCAAAGUUCCAAUUAUGUUCAGCGGAACCUUGACAACUGCAUAGGUGAGUCUGGAAAAGAAAAAAGCAUCUCAUGGAUGCAUAAUUUCUUUUUUAGAAAUUAUGAUGAAUUCUUGAGCAAGAGCUGAGACUCUAUAACAAUCUUUUGAUGUAAAAAUCAUCAAGAGUCAGAUCAGUAAUUCAAUUUGGAAUCACUGAGAAUACGUAUUUAAUUGCGUGAAAUUGUUUUAGAGAUUAUUUU